AUGUGGGUCCCCAUGGACUGUCGGUCCACGCACUGUGCGUGGACUGCAUGAGAGAACCACACAGGCCGCGCCUACGUGCACCCACCUAGGUCCAGGCCAUACCCACGUUCGUGCCCACCUGGGCCUGGGUAGCACACCGCACGUGCCUGCACAUCUGCACCCUGGGUCGUGCACUCAUAGUUGGCCCUCGCACCGUCAUGCAUGCCCGCUCUACCGCAGUCUCCACUGGCCCGCCGCUAGCCUCCGCCACUUUGAUCUCUGUG
rnacentral:lncRNA from 1 species